CAUAAUUUAAUUUUUAUUGAAUUCAAAUAGAACGAGCUACUUUAAGAUAUAUGGAAAAAGGGGAAGCGAAUGGGUGAACAAUGAAAAGAAUGCCAGGGACCACAGUGACACCAGGAUAACAGAAAAAAGAAAUUUCUUCUUUUCCCCGUCGGGCGAAGCGCGAGUUCCGCAAACGGAUGACAUGCGCACUUCGCGUGAACCAUCGAUUUUCAUCGUCCGCCACCGCGCGAUUAUCGGCUUAAAUUGAACGAACGGGUCGUUCCUCUCUUUUUUUUUUUAACCUCCCCUUGGCUACCUCCCACUAUGGUUGAGAUUGUCGCGAAAUAAUAACAGAGGCUAGGCGCACCAGCACUCGUUCAUGGCGCCCCAUUAUGCCAAGAGGCGAGCCAAGGGGGCUUGCCAUUUUUUGCCGGACAACCGAAGGAUCAGGAAAGACCGCCUCCGUCUUCCGUCAUUCGUUCUUUUUGCGGUUGACCGGUGUCUCGAUCAACGCCAUCAUUGUCUUGCAGUCGUCGUUCAGUUUGUACCGAGGCACUCUCGUCGCCAUUCGAAAGACACAACGCAUCUCCAACUACCAGGGGCGCAGCAUCGUUCAAGAGCGUGGGUUCCGGUGCGUCAAGCAUGUAUCGUUUUGUGUCAACUUCCUUUUUCUCCCACCCUCUGCCGGUUGACGUUUCAAUAUAUCGAACCUAUUGAUGCGGUACGCUCUCUGGCGAACGGCUUGGUAAAUUGUAUUGAUGCACAAACCGCGGGAGAAAGCGUUGCGGUCGAACAGGCGCAACAGUUGGGUAUUUUUUUCUGUAUGUAUAUAAAUAAUAAGUUCUAUCGUUGAAGUGAUUUACAUAUUAUGAAAUAGUUUAGGAGAAGCAGAAGAAGCAGAAGGAGAAGACGACUCUGUGUCUUGAAAUAGAACAGAGAAUAUGAAUUAAUUUUAAUCCAGUUGCAUGAUGCAGCAUUAGAUAAUAUAUACAGCAUCUAUGAAUAUGAAAGUUACAGAGUUACUAAGAAAACAUACUAAGCUUUGAGUAAGUUUCUAACUAUGCCUUCUGCGUGGAUGUAAAUUAGAAAAUAGCAUGCAAUGUCCAGAGAUGAAUCACUGAAGAACAUUUAUCCUGCAGAGAACGUAAUAAUAAUUUUUAGCUUUAUACCACAGAGGUGUGCUGUUUAUGCUUUUGAACAUCUUUCAUAUUUUAUUAUAUAUUUCAGAAAAUAAUUUUUAGUUUUUUUGCAACAGUUUUAGACAACGUACGUUAAUUGUUCAAAGGAAUACUACCCUGAUCCUGCAAGGACGAGAUGUCACGUGGUUUUACGGUGGAGGAGACGACGCUAAACUUACCCUAAAAUCUGCUCGCCUAAUACGAACCUGGUCAUGUGCUUGAAUUUUCGAUUGACGAGCAUUCGACAGCCGAUUACGAUGCAUUGAUUCUGGAUCAUGUUCAAAAGGAAACUAUAUAGAGUGCUUUUCAAGCGACAACAUUGGUACUACGCGCCUCGACUAUGCAAGUGAAACGAGUCGAGCAAAUCAGACGCUUUUCCACGAUAUCCAGGCAACAGCCGGGAGCGAUAGCAGCAUCCACCUCUAUGGAUCAACGCGGGUAGAUGAAAUAAACAAACGUAACAUACUGAUACGUUCCUGGUAGCAUCGAAACGCGAUGAGAUGUCGUAAACGUAGGAAGAUGACAGAAAAUCGAUAAUCUACCUUCAGAUGUGGUCCAGGUUCCUCGCGAUUCUUCGCUGCUUUCUUUUAUGCCCGGACAAACACCGCCGAGUGAUGGUGGCCUGAUAUUUUUCAGACGUUACGUGUCUUAUUGUUGUCUCCGUUUGUUCCGUUACUACGCGUCAAAAAAAUAUCGAGUCGCAACAAUAUGUAUUGGUGAAUCGAUACUAUUUCAACUUUAGAUACUAUCCUGUUACGUUGACACGUCAUGGUCGUCAUGUCUCGACAAAUUUGACGUUAAAUCAAUAAACCCCUUUGAGUACGCUUCACUUGCACACAUAUGUCAUUUAUAGGUAAAUGCUUUGAAAGUAAUUACAAAUUACGUCUUGAUGUUAAGCAGAAGCCAGAAACGAUACUUCAAAUAUUAUGUUGUAGAUAUCUUAUUGGAUGAAGAUAAUCAAGUGGACGUAAGUCAUCAGAAUUAUCUCGAGCUAUAAUUUACUAUAUAAUUAAUCGUCGAAGGUAAUUGGAAACUAAUUACUGCUACUGUAUGAACAAAAGAUAGAGUAAUACACGAUCUUAGAUGGUGUAUGAUUCAUUCGAUGAAUAUUGUGUUACAAAGGGAUUCUGAUUUCAAGCAGCCAACGUUUGCGUGCUUCGGUAUCGAUUUAACGUCAGUUUCAUGUCAUAAAGACGUCAAACACACGCUUUUCAUCAGGACAACAUCCACGGCUUGAAUUUACGACCAACCAUGAGCAACAGGUCUCGGAGGGAUGAAUUCUCUCGCACGCAGAAUCCAGUUUCCCUCCAUUUUUGUAACGAUAGUAGUACCAGUCGCUUGUUCUCGUGGAGUUAAGUCAUUCAAUCGCUACUUACAAUUUAUAUUGCUAUAAAAUCAAUCCUUAAAUAAUGCAUGUGCAUAAAGAAAAAACAAUCUUAACGAUAUUCAGUUUUCUGUUGAAUGGGAACUUGAUUUGUGCGAGAACUUGAAUUUAUUGAUCCUCGGCAACAAAACACGCCCCUUGGUAUCCACCCCUAGAUGAAAUAUACCUCCAGGCAACCACCUGUUGCUUUCGGUCGUAAAUCUACCCCGGGGCUGUAAUCCUGGUAGGCUUGUCUCAGAAUGACGUCAUUGACGAUCUUUUGAUGGACAACUGACAUCCGUUGACGUCUCUCGAGAGAACCGUUCUAUCAGGACGAAUCAUCGAGACGUGAUUUCUUUCUGAGAAAAGCUUCCUUAUUUUUCAGAUGCUGCGGUCGAGGGUAGCCAGCGACGCGCGAAGCAAAGCGUCGGUGAGGGAGCCAUAAAUUCAUCUACUACCCGUCGUUGCUACCCUAGUAACUACGAGCUUUCGUGACGUCACGCAACGUUACGUGACGAGCAGUUCGACAUGUCGACAGCUCGUGUCCACUCGAUGUCCUCGAGAUACGGGACCAACGGAUUGUAUCGGUUAAAAAAAAAAGCCUGACGCCAGAAAUAAGACGUAUCGAUUCGUCGACGUUGACGUCGACGUGGCGGGAAAGCCAUAAAUCCCUCAAACGUCUGCUGGUUCCCUGGUGCCAGCAAGCUACUUGUGCCACCGUGACAAACGGAUGACUGACACUUCCCUUUCCUAAAACCCUUCGUGUCCAUCCAAUCAGAGUUAAAGGUAAGCAAAAUUGUUAUCAAUGUGAGGAACUCCUAACGUUCGACUGGCUGUAUGUACAAAGAGGAAGUUGAGAGGGGUAUACUGGCAAGAGGAAAGAAGAAAUGACACAAUACGAUGUUUGCGACUUGACUAUCCGGUCUCUUGUAUGCGGCCCUGAUACGUUGGCGUCCUUACGACGUAACAUGAUGAACAGAUGACGCUAAAUCAAUAUACGUCGUCGUCAAGCGAUUGUUAAACGUCGUUUAACCGAGACUCUCAGCUAAGAAGCUUUUACUUCCUGGGCAACGAGCGAUAAAUAUCUGUAGUUACAUACACGUUGGAUACUUCUAAUCACACAGACAAACUGUCGUUCAUUUUCUAGCGUUUUAAAUUUGUAUCUUCGUAUUAAUAAUUUUCAUAUUUGUUAUAUUAAGCUGAUCAAUUAUUUGUUUAUUAACAGAUGUAUUUAUCAUUUAGACAUCUAGAUUUCUUUGACCAGUUGUUUCAAGAUAUAGAAACGUUUUACAACAGAAUUUACCGGUUCACCGAAAAAAUAUUCGAAGGUAUGUAAAGAGCUACAAGAAGAUCGUGUCCAGCAUGCCUUGCGAGCUUCCAGGAACAGGCUAACAUCCACAAUCGAAGGAUUCAGUGAUCCUGGAAUGCACUGGAUUCCUGUCUGGUUAUCGUGACGGUCGAUGAUGUUAGGGUUGAAUCUAAAGGAGAGGAAGUAGAUGGACGCGGAGGCGAUCGAAUGGCGGUAGUCCAAGUUCAAUUUUAAACGAGUCAAUAACAUCAAAAGCUUCGAAUACGCGGCUCGCAUCACCGUGUGGAGCUUCACGAUACCGUAAACUUUACGACGUAGACCGUAGGUGAUAUUAACACUAUGUCACGUUCAACUAAAAACCUGCAAUGUCGUAGAAAGAAAUUAUCUUAAGAUUCAAACAUAAUGUAGAAUAAUUUCAAUGACACGAUACUAACUUUGACUUCAGGGAUGCAAAGUAGAUAAAAGAUUUAGGUACAAUGCAGUUUUUUCUGUAAAAGUAUAAUCGCCUACUACACGUCUACACAUAAAUCCUUUUUUUAUAAAUAAUUUCUUUACUUUCUUCUAGAUUACGUGUUACGGUAAGCUUAUAACAGGUGCGAUCAGAGUUAGCGAACACCAGGCUCGCACUUGGUUAAGGAAGCUUCUUCGUGAUCGAACCUAUCACUUGGAGAAAGGGUUUGCUUGGAUUAAAUAAAAAACUAAGUGAAAAUAACAUAGCUUGGCCACCUUUCGUGUAACAGUUCAUCUUAAGGGCAUGUAAAAUACAACUUAGAUACAACUUAAAAAUGAAACUGUUUAAAAGAACAUUUCACUAGAAACUUUAUUCUUAAGGCAACCCCUUAGGUCUUGAAGUAUUGGAAAAUGAUUAUUCUUUUCUCGAUUCAUGUUACUAAUGCUACAUUAAUUUUUAUAUAAAUUAGGAGACGUGGAAUCAUCUGUCCAACAAGGCGACUGCGUCGACGCCUGGCGUAUUUCUCAAACCAGGGGUGCACGUUAGACACAGGGGUUGCUACCCACUUCUCGUGCAAUAUGGUGACUCGAAUGACGUAACAAAGCGCGCGUUUUACUAGGAGAACAUCCCUGAAUGAAGGAUACAACUACCCCUAACAAUCCUUGGUUAACCACCCCUGUGGAACCUACCCCUCUUGACACUUCUCUGUAAAUUAUUACAAAAAGAACUGACCUAGCCAAUAAGCUUAACCUUUGCGACGUCACGCUGCCUAACAUUUCUACCCGGGAAUUAUGGAGUUCCAGUUAGCUCAGUGCGCAGUGCGCUGGCUUAAACGGGGGUGGCGAUAUUGACACGCUUUUCGAACUGCACAAUCUCCCAAGAACAGGAGUUUAUACCCAGAAGUACGUAAUCAAAGUGACGUCAUCGAUAAAGUAAUCAAGCGUGCAUAUUGACACAUUUGUAAGAUUAUGCAAGUAGAAUAAUAGAAUUCAAGACUGAAUGGAAGGAGUCUGAUAAAAUUUAAAAUGGUAUGCAACAGACGUCAUUGAAUACCCACACAUCUAUUAUCUACAUGCUAGUUGUAAGUGAAAUAGGUAUCUUGUUCAUACUGUUUUUCAUUUAAUUAUCAACAUUCAUUCAUGCCAUCAUGUUUCGUAACAUAGUGCAACCAGAAACAAUGCAUAAGAUAAAGUUGCAGCAGUUCCUGAUUAUUUCUCUCCUUGUAAAGAGAGAGGAACAUAGGAUAUUUCCUGCAGUUCCUGAAUAUUAUUUACUCUCUCUCUUUGUAAAAAGAGAAAAGAGGAAAAGGGACUUUCCAACCGAAGUUUUCCGGUAAGCUGGAAGAAUUAGUUUUUGAUAUAAGAAUAUCAGUUUCCGCAGAAACUUUCAAAAAUUGCCGUAGCCGAUGGUAUUUCACAUCGUCAUGGCGGGGUAUUGGUAAAAGUUUUCAACUAGCAAUAAUCGCACCUCGGUAGAACCUCAUUGGUUACGAUAUCGCCACUGCGCAAAGCUGACGAGUCUAUCUUUCGCUGGGGUACUAAUAACACCGCCGCUACCUUUUCCCUGUGAGAAUCAUCUCGUCUCCGAUGCCACCUAGUGACAGGUCGGAGAACUAAAAAAGAGCAGCGGAUCGAACAUGAAGAAAAGAGAGUUAUUCAUGAUAUUAUAUGUCAACUGGAAACAGUGUAUUCACAAUUGACUGCAAGUAGAGAUGCGUUAAGUAUUUGCUGGAAAUGCAUUGUCACAGGAACACAAGAAACCAAGAGGUGGCACGACUAAGUACGCAUGUAAAGAUGGUU